rnacentral:rRNA from 1 species
AUGGCCUCCACCUUCAGCGGCGACGAGACCGCCCCCUUCUUCGGCUUCCUCGGCGCCGCCGCCGCCCUCNNNNNNNNNNGCAUGGGGGCGGCGUACGGGACGGCCAAGAGCGGGGUGGGGGUGGCGUCGAUGGGGGUGAUGCGGCCGGAGCUGGUGAUGAAGUCCAUCGUGCCCGUCGUCAUGGCCGGGGUGCUCGGGAUCUACGGCCUCAUCAUCGCCGUCAUCAUCUCCACCGGGAUCAACCCCAAGGCCAAGCCCUACUUCCUCUUCGACGGCUACGCGCACCUCUCCUCCGGCCUCGCCUGCGGCCUCGCGGGCCUCGCCGCCGGCAUGGCCAUCGGCAUCGUCGGCGACGCCGGCGUCAGGGCCAACGCGCAGCAGCCCAAGCUGUUCGUCGGCAUGAUCCUCAUCCUCAUCUUUGCCGAAGCCCUUGCCCUGUACGGCCUCAUCGUCGGCAUCAUCCUCUCCUCGCGCGCCGGCCAAUCCCGCGCCGACUAG